rnacentral:lncRNA from 1 species
AGCAUAUGCCUGUCAAAGACAUGCUUGAAAAGUUUUUAAGCAAACUUUCCCUAAAAUAAAGUGCUUUUAUUUAAAAAGAUUUCUUAUUUCAUAUACACUUUUACUUCUAUUCAUUUUUCCACGCUAUUAGUCUGGACAUUUCCUGGAUAUAAGUCGAGAGUAACUGCAUACAGGAGAAAAUGGGGGUGUCAGAGGUGAGUCAUAUUAUUUAUAGCAAUUCUAAUAAUAUAUUAAUAUAAUAAUGUU